rnacentral:rRNA from 1 species
AGUAAAUAGAUACCCCGGUAGUCCACGCCGUAAACGAUGAGUACUAGGUGUAGGAGGUAUCGACCUCCUUCUGUGCCGCAAGUUAAACACAAUAAGUACUCCGCCUGGGAAGUACGGUCGCAAGAUUAAAACUCAAAGGAAUUGACGGGGGCCCGCACAAGCAGCGGAGCAUGUGGUUUAAAUUCGAAGCAACGCGAAGAACCUUACCUAGACUUGACAUCUCCUGAAUAGUGUAGAGAUACAUGAAGCCCUUCGGGGCAGGAAGACAGGUGGUGCAUGGUUGUCGUCAGCUCGUGUCGUGAGAUAGUUGGG